rnacentral:tRNA from 1 species
GCGGAAGUGGCGGAACUGGCAGACGCAUUAGCUUGAGGGGCUAACGGUAGCAAUACUGUGGGGGUUCAAAUCCCCCCUUCCGCA